rnacentral:snRNA from 1 species
GUGCUCACUUUGGCAGCACACAUACUAAAACUGGAAUGAUACAGAGAAGAUUAGCAUGGUCCCUGUGCAAGGAUGACAGGCAAAUUUGUGAAGCAUUCUUCAAAAUU